AUUCCAUGGACUCUAGUCCAUGGGGAUUUGUACACGACUGUGCAACUUUCACUUCAUGAGAUUUUUAUAUAUAGAAACUGUUGUCUUUGGGUAAUAGCAGUUUGACUUCUUUUCUAAUAAUGAAUACCUUUUAUUUCUUUUUCUUACCAUGAGACAAACACUACUAUCUUAGAAAGAGUUUCUGCUUAGCUCAUUAGCUUCUGAGUGCAAUGUGACAGACUCAGUCCUCCAUCUCUUCUUUCUCCUUGCAGUCUUGGCUCCUUAAGACUCUUAAUUUUGUCCCUCUGGGCCUGUGAGACCACUGAAAGCUGUGCUUUUUUUUUUUUUUUUUUUUGGUCCCCAGAUAUAGCCAUCUACCUGGAUGAAGCCUGGAUUCUCAGCCUCCUUCACUGUGCCCUAGAAUUGGAAAAUUUCUCCAGAGGAAAAGAAGCUGCAAUAUGUCACUGUAUCUUUCCAUGGUUCUCCUUUCUCCAGCAUGUUGGCUCCUUAAGUCCUGAUCACUUCAGCAGUUCUCCAGUGGCUUUAAACUUUUUUUGUCAUACUUUAAAUAAUUGUGUUUGCUAUUUAUUAACGUUAUUGUUGUAAAAUAUUGUAUAUAUACAAAGGGAAAAAGUGUAUCAUGUACAUUAACAGUAUAAGGAACAGCAGAAAAUCCCAUAAAUCUUUAUCAGAGAACAAGCCUGACUCUGUAUUGAAUCUCUUCCUUUAGCUCUAAUCUUUGUGCUGUCACCUGAGCUUAGUCAUGCUGGCUCUGCACCUUCAUCUCUUCAAUCAGUAAAAGAACAUUGCCUAUCACCUAAAACAUAUAAUAGACUUUUUCUCAAGUCUCUGACUCCCAGGCUUAGCCUUUAAAGCCAUACACUUUUCAUUCAUACAGAGAUAAAAAGUUGCAGAACAGAAAAUAGCAUUUGUCUUAUUGAAGGUUUACAGGAACUUCAUGACCUGACCUACCUGGACACCUGCAAGAACAAGGGAUUAUCACAUUUCCUCUAGGGUCUGCCUAGCACCAAGAGGUCUGCACCAACCAGCCACACUCUCCCUUUUUACUACAAAAGAAGCCUGAAUUCUAACUUGGGUAAAAUGGUUCUUUUGGAUAUGAAUGAACCAUUUUCUUGAUCUGCUGACUUUCUGAAUAAAGUCACUAUUCCUUGCUCCAACACUUUGUCUAUUUACGUCUAUUUAUUUGGCCUGUCAUGUGCUUAGCAAUAUGAGCUUAUUGUGCGUGUGUGCAUGCUAAGUAGCUUCAAUUGUGUGCCACUGUUUUCAACGCUAUGGCCUGUAGCCCGCCAGACUUCUCUGCCCGUGGGAUUCUCCAGGCAAGAAUACUGGAGUGGGUUGCCAUGCCCUCCUCCAGGGGAUCUUCUCGAUGCAGGGAUUGAACCCACGUCUCUUACAUCUCCUGCAUGGGCAGGCAGGUUCUUUACCACUAGAGCCACCUGAAGCCCCAUUAGCUUGGACUCGGUAACAAAUCCACCAUGCAGGUGAGCUUUAGGUACCCUCCUCAUUUAUAGUUAUUCCUAGUCCACCCUCAUGCCAUUAUCCUACAUUAUUCUUUUUAAAAAACUCCUUUAAAAUGAGAUAUAAUUGGCAUAUAACAUCGUGUAAGUUUAAGGUAUACAAUGUAUUGACUUUAUACAUUUAUAUGGUGCAAUGCGUUACCGCCUUAAGGUUAGCUAACACAUCUAUCAUACACAUAAUUAUCAUUUUUUUUUGUGGUAGGAAUACAUGAUGUUUUAAUGGGGUUUUCCUGUUCUCUGUAGGAGCAUUUGUCUGCCAAAAACUACCCUGAAAACUGAAAAAACAUUUUUAAUCACAAUAAAUGGUAUUUGCUGAUUUGUGAUAAUGCUCAAUGAACCAGGCAAGCACUAUGUCACUUGAUUUUCAGAGUAAUGCAAAUAAUUAUUUCCAUUAUUUCCCUUGUAUAUACCAAUAAGUAAAUAGAAACCUAUAAGGUUUAAUUUAAUUGGUUAAGAACACAGAAGUGAGGAAGCUGGAAUUCCCAGUCAGGCCUUUUCAGCUCCAAUGAAUGUGUUUGAAACACACACACACAAUCUAUAUCCAUAUCUGUAUCUAUAUCUCUGAAUUGUUCAGUGCAAGCAGGAAGGCUGAAGACUCAGGGAAAAGUUACUUUUACAACUUGAGUCCAAAGGCAGUUUGGAGGCAGAAUUUCUUCCUCUUUGAGGGACCUCAGUCUUUUUCUCUUAAAGCCUUAAACUGUAUGGAUGCAGCCAACUUAGAUUAUGAGAUUAUGGAGAAUAAUCCAUUUAUAGUGCACUGAUUAAAAUUUCAAUCACAUCUAAAAAUAAUUUCACAGCAACAUCUAGAGACAUGUUUAACCAAGCAACUGGGCAGUAUAGCCUAGCCAAGUUGACACAUAAAAACAGCUACCAUGCUCCCUGACUGUAUUUUUUUUGUAACAGUUCAAACAAUGGAAAGAAUAGAGAAGAAAUAGUGUCACACUCUCGCCUCUGUCCCCUUCCCUUCACAAAGAACACUGUCAACCUCUCAGUGAACAUCCUUCGAGAACUCUGCCUAUUCCUUUAACACUCAUACAUAUAAAUAUAUACAUAUGCAAUGUGGUUUAUUUAAAUGGGAUCAUUCUACAGGUAUUGUUUGUGUCUUAUUUGCCCUCUUGAAUGGUAAGUCAUAUAUAUUUAUCCUUUUAUUUACUUGGACAUUUAUCUAAUAUUUAUAUUAAAUGAUACAAUUGAGUAAAAAGCAAAAGUCCAUAUUUGACCCCCUUCCUGAACCUCACUUUCAUCCUCAAAAAUAAAUACUGUUAUUAUUUAAGGAAGCAGAUCACUUAACUGGCUGCCAGUCUCAUGAUCCAGAUUCUAGAAUCUCCAGACAGUAUUUAUUGGGCACCCCGACCCUGGUCUGAGGCCCUUCUGCCCUGAGCAUUCACUGCUUGCAUAGAGAAUGCUCCUGAGCUCCAUGGCUAGUCAGAGUUCCCAUGAGGCACACGCAGCCUGGCUGGCCAAAUCAACUUAUGGGGAACCCGCAUCAGGGGACUCCCAUGAUUCCUCCCCAGAUCUAAACGUGGAUUGAGGGGAGGUUUUGGAGAAGCAGGGUGAGCAAUCCGAGAGCCAAGAUCCAAGCCUUCAAGACAAUCUGCCCCCACAGGGCCUGAACCCAAAAACAGCCAAGCAGGAAGAGAACAACGCCAUCCUCGGGCUGUCCUUCCCCAGGAAGCUCUGGAGGAUUGUGGAGGAUGUGGCCUUUACCUCUGCAUGCUGGAAUGAUGAGGAAGACAUGGUGGUCCAUCGAAGUAGAUCUCUUCCAGAUGGAGGUCCUCCAGCGCAGAGGCAUGGACCAGAUCUUCGAGACAGACAGCAGCAAGAGUUUCAUCAGUGAACUGAACCUGUAUGGGUUCAGUAAAAUCUGCCCUUCGUGUCACUCUGCAGGGAAGAAGAUGAUGAUGAUCUACCCCAACUCCAACUUUCAGAGAGACAAGCCUCUCCUCCUGCAGAACAUCCAGAGGAAAGGCAACCCCGGAACAACUGCUCAGUCUGCUGCCAGCACAACAGUGACCACAAAGAGAAAGAAGUGAGCAGUGGCAACCAGACACUCUCCUCGGCUCCACCACAACCAGUGCACCCAAGAGGCGGGCAAGAAAGUCCAGAAGGGAACGCCACCUGCUCGCAGAACCCCCAGCUGGUGCUCAUUUGUGUUCUCUGGCCUUUGGUCUAUGGGCAGUGUAGCUGGGCGGGCCGGGAGAAACCAUCUCCCCAGCGAGCAGGGCAGUCACAGUGGAGAGGGCACAUCCAGCAAUGUCACGUCUGUGCCCCCAGCUACUUCUGGAAGGGAUGGAGCAGGGGAACUGCCCGAGAGCCCCCCAGAGUACCCAGAUUACGAUUCGGUGAUGGCUCUGCACAAGACCUGCUGCUCCAUCCUGGUGGUGGCCCCUUCAGUCAUGGCCCCAAACGAGGCCCCUGAGGCGGAGGAGAAGCAGGGAGAGUCCUCAGAUUACAAGUGUGUCCUCUGUGAGCACUUCAAGGACAAGCCCAGUCCCUGACUGCUAGGUCCCUAGGGACACUCAAAAGCACUCUCUUGUAAUCAAAUAGAUUUCUGGCUGUAAUAAAGUAGAGCAAAACUCCACGGGAGUAAAUAAAGAAUUGAAUGAGAACUGUGAGUCUCCCUUCUUUCUGUCUGUCCAUGCUAUUCACACAUGGCACAGGGUGAGCCAGAUGAGGCUGGAAGCCCAUGCCCCAGGCAGGCUUCAGUCCGGUCCCCAUGGUUCCUUUUCAACUGAAGCAGCAGCAUUUCACACACUCGGCCAAGGGUCUGACCCACAAGCCGAGUGCUGAGGCAAGCCCAGGACAGGCUGGUCCCUGGGCCUUGCCUGCCACUCAGCAGAUGGCCCAGCCAGGCUCCUGAUCUUGGGGGUGUCACCUUCCCUGAGUCUUGCACCCUGAAGCAGAAGGUGCUCCUCAAGGGUCCCCCAAGAAUGCUACAACUUUCUGAUCAGCAGCUGAGCAAUCUCUAGCUCCUGAUCCAGGGGCCUGUUUCUGGGCCUGUGGGCCUCUCCGUGUGCUGGAUGCCUCUCCACCUACCGACACACAGCCUGGCCCCCAGCCUUCCCCCAUUGUCCCCUGGACACUGUUCCAACAUCGGCGAGUUUGGACCAGAACA